GACCAGGACAUGCUCGACGACGAGCUCGUCCAGCCUCGUCUCGAGGGAAACGUCCUCGAAUCUUACCAUGAUGGCGCCCUGCAAGAAGAGACAUGGCGACCUGUUCAUCGGUGCUCCCUGGCUCUGUUACGGCGUCGACUACUGCAGGAGGAGCAAGGGCCGCCUUGAGCAUGGGAGUGAAGGAAGUGUUGCACCUCCAUGGUUGCAGCAGCGACGAAGCAGUGUUGUGCAGGUAACUUUGGAUUGUGUAAUGCUUGUCUUCCCUGUGUUGGGGGACAGCCAUUACUAGCAAGCAAGCAAGCAAGCUGGCAUGCAGGCAGGCAAUGGUGUCUUGUUUGUGUAACAAUGGCCGAGGUUCAGAGCGCAUCAGAGGAGGUGGAGCAAAGCGGUGGUACAGGGAGGUGGCCUCUGAGGAAAAAACAUGAUGAGUCACUGUGGUGAACAUCAUUGGCGAGACUUGCACAAGUGCACCACGUAGGCGCUCUGGUUACCUUGCUGUUUCAGUGGUGUUGCGGUGAUGGUGCUACCAUUCGGUUGUAUUCUGGUGGUGGAGGUGCCCUCAGCUGGUGCUGCGGUGGUGGUGCUGUGCCCUGGAGCUGCUGCCGGUGGUCCAUGGAGCUCUGUGGCUGCUGCUGUCCUUGGACGACAACGAUGAUGCUGGGGCUGGGCUCCUGAUGGUUGAACCCAUGCUGCGACAAGGAUGACUGAGGGCAUGGACAUGAAUUCAGUUUCGUGUCUCUACAUGAGGAUCUGAAGGCCAGGUGCAGGAGCUUGUCCUCAAGGCCCAUCGCGAUUACCUCGACGUAGGCGGUCAGGAGAUCGUCAACAUCAGCAGCAAAGGUGAAGAAGAAGAAGAUCGAUUCUGCUAUAUUCUUCUACUUUCUGAAUUUGUGCAACCCGCUUGGGGAGGGUGUUGGCGGACGCGCUUUGUGGCGGCAUGUUGGGCUUCUUUUGGUAAAGCUGGUGGUGCUGCUGGCCGUUUAAUUGGUUCCUGAAUGAUGUAGGUGGUGUGUCUUUUUUUUUCUCGAUAAAGGAUGCUUUAUUACAGGCGGUGUGUCUUGUGUGUGCUAUGAACCUGGUUACUAGUUGUGCUGCUGGAGUCUUAUUUUGUAGGACUUGAUCAUGUGUUUAACUGUCAAUGUUCAGUAAUUGAGAAA